CCUACGGGGUGCAGCAGUGGGGAAUAUUGCACAAUGGGGGAAACCCUGAUGCAGCAACGCCGCGUGAGUGAAGAAGUAUUUCGGUACGUAAAGCUCUAUCAGCAGGGAAGAAAAUGACGGUACCUGACUAAGAAGCCCCGGCUAACUACGUGCCAGCAGCCGCGGUAAUACGUAGGGGGCAAGCGUUAUCCGGAUUUACUGGGUGUAAAGGGAGCGUAGACGGCAGCGCAAGUCGGGGGUGAAAUCCCAUGGCUUAACCAUGGAACUGCUUUGGAAACUGUGCAGCUAGAGUGCAUGAGAGGUAAGCGGAAUUCCUAGUGUAGCGGUGAAAUGCGUAGAUAUUAGGAGGAACACCAGUGGCGAAGGCGGCUUACUGGACUGUAACUGACGUUGAGGCUCGAAAGCGUGGGGAGCAAACAGGAUUAGAUACCCGAGUAGUC
rnacentral:rRNA from 1 species